rnacentral:rRNA from 1 species
GAUGAACGCUAGCGACAGGCUUAACACAUGCAAGUCGAGGGGCAGCGAGGGAGUGCUUGCACUUCUGUCGGCGACCGGCGCACGGGUGAGUAACACGUAUGCAACCUGCCCUUGUCAGGGGGAUAAGCGAGGGAAACCUCGUCUAAUACCGCAUAUAUGGUUUUGAGGCAUCUCUUAAUCAGGAAAGAAUUAUCGGACAAGGAUGGGCAUGCGGGACAUUAGGUAGUUGGGGGUGUAACGGACCACCAAGCCGACGAUGUCUAGGGGUUCUGAGAGGAAGGUCCCCCACACUGGAACUGAGACACGGUCCAGACUCCUACGGGAGGCAGCAGUGAGGAAUAUUGGUCAAUGGUCUGACGACUGAACCAGCCAUGCCGCGUGAAGGUCACGGCCCUAUGGGUCUUAAACUGCUUUUGUAUGGGAGCAAUAAGUUCUACGUGUAGAGCGAUGAGAGUACCUUGCGAAUAAGCAUCGGCUAACUCCGUGCCAG